rnacentral:rRNA from 1 species
UACGGAGGAUCCAAGCAUUAUCCGGAUUUAUUGGGUUUAAAGGGUGCGUAGGUGGCUUUUUAAGUCAGGGGUGAAAGACGGUAGCUUAACUAUCGCAGUGCCUUUGAUACUGAAGAGCUUGAAUGAACUAGAGGUAGGCGGAAUGUGACAAGUAGCGGUGAAAUGCAUAGAUAUGUCACAGAACACCAAUUGCGAAGGCAGCUCACUAUGGUUUUAUUGACACUGAGGCACGAAAGCGUGGGGAUCAAACAGG